UACGGAGGAUCCGAGCGUUAUCCGGAUUUAUUGGGUUUAAAGGGUGCGUAGGCGGUUUGAUAAGUUAGAGGUGAAAUGUCGGGGCUCAACCCCGAAACUGCCUCUAAUACUGUUGGACUAGAGAAUAGUUGCGGUAGGCGGAAUGUAUGGUGUAGCGGUGAAAUGCUUAGAGAUCAUACAGAACACCGAUUGCGAAGGCAGCUUACCAAACUAUAUCUGACGUUGAGGCACGAAAGCGUGGGUAGCAAACAGG
rnacentral:rRNA from 1 species